UACGUAGGGGGCAAGCGUUUGUCCGGAAUCAUUGGGCGUAAAGCGCGUGUAGGCGGUUCGAUAAGUCUGCUGUGAAAGUCCAGGGCUCAACCCUGGGAUGCGGGUGGAUACUGUCGGGCUCGAGUCCGGAAGAGGCGAGUGGAAUUCCCGGUGUAGCGGUGAAAUGCGCAGAUAUCGGGAGGAACACCAAUGGCGAAGGCAGCUCGCUGGGACGUGACUGACGCUGAGACGCGAAAGCGUGGGGAGCAAACAGG
rnacentral:rRNA from 1 species